GGCCGCCUAGCGUAAUGGUUAACGCGCUAGUUUCCGGUUAGGAUAGCUAGAGAUUGUGGGUUCGAGUCCCAUGGUGGUCG
rnacentral:tRNA from 1 species